UACGAAGGGUGCAAGCGUUACUCGGAAUUACUGGGCGUAAAGCGUGCGUAGGUGGUUUCUUAAGUCUGCUGUGAAAGCCCCGGGCUCAACCUGGGAAUGGCAUUUGGGACUGCAAGGCUGGAGUGCGGCAGAGGAGACUGGAAUUCCUGGUGUAGCAGUGAAAUGCGUAGAUAUCAGGAGGAAUACCGAUGGCGAAGGCAGGUCUCUGGGCUGACACUGACGCUCAUGCACGAAAGCGUGGGGAGCAAACAGG
rnacentral:rRNA from 1 species